rnacentral:rRNA from 1 species
UACGGAGGGGGCUAGCGUUGUUCGGAAUUACUGGCGUAAAGCGCACGUAGGCGGCUUUGCAAGUUAGAGGUGAAAGCCCGGGGCUCAACUCCGGAACUGCCUUUAAGACUGCAUCGCUAGAAUUGUGGAGAGGUAAGUGGAAUUCCGAGUGUAGAGGUGAAAUUCGUUAGAUAUUCGGAAGAACACCAGUGGCGAAGGCGACUUACUGGACACAUAUUGACGCUGAGGUGCGAAAGCGUGGGGAGCAAACAGG